UAGGGAAUUUUCGUCAAUGGGGGGAACCCUGAACGAGCAAUGCCGCGUGAGCGAAGAAGGUCUUCGGAUCGUAAAGCUCUGUUGUAAGAGAAAAACGAGCGCCAUAGGGAAUGAUGGCGGAGUGAUGGUAUCUUACCAGAAAGCCACGGCUAACUACGUGCCAGCAGCCGCGGUAAUACGUAGGUGGCGAGCGUUAUCCGGAAUCAUUGGGCGUAAAGGGUGCGUAGGUGGCACGAUAAGUCUGUAGUAAAAGGCAGCGGCUCAACCGCUGUUGGCUAUGGAAACUGUCGAGCUGGAGUGCAGAAGAGGGCGAUGGAAUUCCAUGUGUAGCGGUAAAAUGCGUAGAUAUAUGGAGGAACACCAGUGGCGAAGGCGGCCGCCUGGUCUGCAACUGACACUGAAGCACGAAAGCGUGGGGAGCAAAUA
rnacentral:rRNA from 1 species